rnacentral:lncRNA from 1 species
GUCUGUCAGUCCGUCCGUCCGUCCGUCCGUCCAUCAGUCCGUCAGUCAGUCCGUCCAUGAACUUUUCGUCACAUAUUUCUCAGGAACUACACAUCCACCCUUUCUGUAAUUUGGUAUCAACAUUUAUAUAUGUCAGCCAUACUGUGUGAUGCGUUUUCAGAUUCAUCACUUGACAACUUCCUGUUUACCGAACACUUGUCUGAUUUUACACAUGAUAGCCAAGUUGAAAAUUUUCGUCACAUUUUUCUCAGGAACUACAAUACAAGGGAUUUCUGAAAUUGUUUCAGGAUUUAUAUAAAUCAGCUAUACCAUGUGAUGCGUUUUCAGAUUCAUCACUCGACAACUUCCUGUUUACCGAACACUUGUAUGAUUUUACACAUGAUAGCCAAGUUGAAAAUUUUCGUCACAUUUUUCUCAGGAACUACGAUACAAGGAUUUCUGAAAUUUGGUUUCCGGAUUUAUAUAAGUCAGCUAUACCGUGUGAUGCGUUUUCAGAUUCAUCACUCGACUACUUCCUGUUUACCGAACACUUGUAUGAUUUUACACAUGAUAGCCAAGUUGAAAAUUUUCGUCACAUUUUUCUCAGGAACUACAAUACAAGGAUUUCUGAAAUUUGGUUUCAGGAUUUUAUAAGUAAGCUAUACCGUUUGAUGCGUUUUCAGAUUCAUCACUCGACUACUUCCUGUUUACCAAACACUUGUAUGAUUUUACACAUGAUAACCAAGUUAAAAAUUUUCGUCACAUUUUUCUCAGGAACU